rnacentral:rRNA from 1 species
GAUGAACGCUAGCUACAGGCUUAACACAUGCAAGUCGAGGGUCAGCAUGGUCUUAGCUUGCUAAGGCCGAUGGCGACCGGCGCACGGGUGAGUAACACGUAUCCAACCUGCCGUCUACUCUUGGACAGCCUUCUGAAAGGAAGAUUAAUACAAGAUGGCAUCAUGAGUCCGCAUGUUCACAUGAUUAAAGGUAUUCCGGUAGACGAUGGGGAUGCGUUCCAUUAGAUAGUAGGCGGGGUAACGGCCCACCUAGUCUUCGAUGGAUAGGGGUUCUGAGAGGAAGGUCCCCCACAUUGGAACUGAGACACGGUCCAAACUCCUACGGGAGGCAGCAGUGAGGAAUAUUGGUCAAUGGGCGAGAGCCUGAACCAGCCAAGUAGCGUGAAGGAUGACUGCCCUAUGGGUUGUAAACUUCUUUUAUAAAGGAAUAAAGUCGGGUAUGGAUACCCGUUUGCAUGUACUUUAUGAAUAAGGAUCGGCUAACUCCGUGCCAGCAGCCGCGGUAAUACGGAGGAUCCGAGCGUUAUCCGGAUUUAUUGGGUUUAAAGGGAGCGUAGAUGGAUGUUUAAGUCAGUUGUGAAAGUUUGCGGCUCAACCGUAAAAUUGCAGUUGAUACUGGAUAUCUUGAGUGCAGUUGAGGCAGGCGGAAUUCGUGGUGUAGCGGUGAAAUGCUUAGAUAUCACGAAGAACUCCGAUUGCGAAGGCAGCCUGCUAAGCUGCAACUGACAUUGAGGCUCGAAAGUGUGGGUAUCAAACAGGAUUAGAUACCCUGGUAGUCCACACGGUAAACGAUGAAUACUCGCUGUUUGCGAUAUACUGCAAGCGGCCAAGCGAAAGCGUUAAGUAUUCCACCUGGGGAGUACGCCGGCAACGGUGAAACUCAAAGGAAUUGACGGGGGCCCGCACAAGCGGAGGAACAUGUGGUUUAAUUCGAUGAUACGCGAGGAACCUUACCCGGGCUUAAAUUGCAGAUGAAUUACGGUGAAAGCCGUAAGCCGCAAGGCAUCUGUGAAGGUGCUGCAUGGUUGUCGUCAGCUCGUGCCGUGAGGUGUCGGCUUAAGUGCCAUAACGAGCGCAACCCUUGUUGUCAGUUACUAACAGGUUCCGCUGAGGACUCUGACAAGACUGCCAUCGUAAGAUGUGAGGAAGGUGGGGAUGACGUCAAAUCAGCACGGCCCUUACGUCCGGGGCUACACACGUGUUACAAUGGGGGGUACAGAGGGCCGCUACCACGCGAGUGGAUGCCAAUCCCCAAAACCUCUCUCAGUUCGGACUGGAGUCUGCAACCCGACCCCACGAAGCUGGAUUCGCUAGUAAUCGCGCAUCAGCCACGGCGCGGUGAAUACGUUCCCGGGCCUUGUACACACCGCCCGUCAAGCCAUGGGAGCCGGGGGUACCUGAAGUGCGUAACCGCGAGGAGCGCCCUAGGGUAAAACUG